AUUCAUUCAUCUGUUGGUGGGCAUCUAGGCUGGUUCUUUAGUUUGGAUAUUGUGAAUCGUGCUGCAAUAGACAUGAGUAUUCAGAUAUACCUGUUGU
rnacentral:miRNA from 1 species